rnacentral:rRNA from 1 species
GACGAACGCUGGCGGCGUGCCUAAUACAUGCAAGUCGAGCGAAGCGGCGGAUGGGUGAGUAACGCGUGGGUAACCUGCCCUUAAGUCUGGGAUACCAUUUGGAAACAGAUGCUAAUACCGGAUACUAACGGUCGGACCUGCGGUGCAUUAGCUAGCUGGUAAGGUAACGGCUUACCAAGGCGAUGAUGAAUAGCCGAGUGGAGAGACUGAUCGGCCACAUUGGCACUGAGCCACGGCCCAAACUCCUACGGUAGGCAGGGGUGGGGAAUCUUCCACAAUGGACGAAAGUCUGAUGGGGCAACGCCGCGUGGGUGAAGGGGGUUUUCGGAUCGUAAAGCUCUAUUGUUGGUGAAGCGGUAAUCAACCAAUAAGUCACGGCUAACUACGUGCCAGCAGCCGCGGUAAUUC